AGUGAACGCUGGCGGUAGGCCUAACACAUGCAAGUCGAACGGCAGCACAGUAAGAGCUUGCUCUUACGGGUGGCGAGUGGCGGACGGGUGAGGAAUACAUCGGAAUCUACUUUUUCGUGGGGGAUAACGUAGGGAGACUUACGCUAAUACCGCAUACGACCUACGGGGGAAAGCAGGGGAUCUUCGGACCUUGCGCGAUUGAAUGAGCCGAUGUCGGAUUGGAUAGUUGGCGGGGUGAUGGCCCAACAAGGCGACGAUCCGUAGCUGGUCUGAGAGGCUGCUCAGCCACACUGGAACUGAGACACGGUCCAGACUCCUACGGUAGGCAGCAGUGGGGAAUAUUGGACAAUGGGCGCAAGCCUGAUCCAGCCAUACCGCGUGGGUGAAGAAGGCCUUCGGGUUGUAAAGCCCUUUUGUUGGGAAAGAAAAGCAGCAGGUUAAUACCCCGCUGUUCUGACGGUACCCAAAGAAUAAGCACCGGCUAACUUCGUG
rnacentral:rRNA from 1 species